UACGAAGGGGGCUAGCGUUGCUCGGAAUUACUGGGCGUAAAGCGCACGUAGGCGGAUUGCUAAGUCAGGGGUGAAAUCCUGGAGCUCAACUCCAGAACUGCCUUUGAUACUGGCGAUCUUGAGUCCGGGAGAGGUGAGUGGAACUCCGAGUGUAGAGGUGAAAUUCGUAGAUAUUCGGAAGAACACCAGUGGCGAAGGCGGCUCACUGGCCCGGUACUGACGCUGAUGUGCGAAAGCGUGGGGAGCAAACAGG
rnacentral:rRNA from 1 species